ACCCAAAGGUCUGAUUUUUUGUGUGUGCUUCGGCACUAAGAAUUAUCCCCGUGGGUUUACAGCUUCGUUGCACGGAGGAGUUCUGCUGCGCAGAGAACCCGCGUGCAGGGGGUGUUCCCGCCACUUUGCAGCGGUCUUUGCAGGGUGCAUUUCCUUUGCAACACAGAAAUGCACGGUGCAAAGAGUUCCCGUUCAUCGUAUGCAAAUUCGUGCCCCGCAAUUGGCUAGUGCUAAAUUAUUCACACGUGGCGGCUAGCGAUUGGCCUGCUAGCCGUAUAAGAGGCUUGAGCAGUUUCCGCCCAAGCCGAAGAGGACUCCGCAUCCAUCUCGUGGGGACUCUGGGUGUGCGGCAGGGUAAUAGAAACCCUGUGUGUCGUUCAGAGUUUGGCGGCCUGAUCCACCGCCCACCUCUUCCCGUCUUCAAACGGAGCCUACUAUAAGACGUAUCGACGAGUUUUAUGCGCGCUUGUCCUGGACAUCCGGAGUUCUGUCUGCGUGGAGCCUAGCAACCUCCACGUGAUUGUUCGUGUUUUGUCUGCGUGGAGCCUAGCAACCUCCACGUGUGUUCGUGUUUUCUGUUGUAACCGUAACUCAAGCAAGUUCUCAGCCUACACCACGACCGUCUCGGUGUAAGUAAACAAUCUUAAAAUCAACCGUUAUGUGUCUGUGCCUAAUUCUAGCUCGGCGACCUCCCUCUCCGACCCGGCCUGCCCGGGCUGCCGGCCACAGCCCGUGUGCAGAGCGACGAAAAGGGCCCGGGGCCUGACCCGGCCCACACAUGGUGACGAGGAUGGGAUCGGGAUCACUGCCGCACAUGAUGGGAUCGGGAUCACCGCGGCACAUGCCGAUGGGAUUAGGAGAGGGCUCGCUAGAGUUAGAAUUAGUUGAGAACUGGCCUUGGAGAAGUGGGAGACGCAGCAUAGCAAGCGUCGCAGAACUGGAGGCGCACAUUGCGUACCACCAGGCGGGCGGAACGGGCAGGAGAUGUGUCCGUGGACACCUUUCGCUAAGGGGAGAAGAAGGAGCUUCCGAAGUCGGAGCCCUAGAAGGGAAAGAAGUAUAUCUUCACCCCGCGGCGUUCGGGUGUAUCAUGGGCGAUGAGCGGGUCCUGUAUAGGCCCCUCGAUGCUGUGACCCUUGCCAAAGUCGACCCGGCGUGCGCAGUAAGCCCGAUCCCCACCCGGGAGUAUGUCCGUUGCUCACUGUGUGCCUGAGAGAUGGGAGAGACGAUGCCAAUUGGCUGGUUCUCCCCUUGCAUGGUGGUGCCUAGACUAAGGAGUCGUGAGCAUCCGUCCGAGCUCCGUGAAGACCCGGAGAUGGAGGACCGCGCCGUAAAUGAGAGAGUGGUCCUACGGUGCGACAAGGGGGGAAAACUAAAUGCAACCUUUCAAACUAUGACUGAUCUGAUGAAUAAAACUUUAAGCUUGAAGACCCAGCUGCGUAUGGCCGUUCAGGCGGUCGGAGAAGCGGCUGAGAGAGGGGAUCUUAAACUGCCCUGACAAGAUGGCGCCGAGCAGAGGGAAGACCGCGUGGAGGAGCCGGAAGUGAGGGAUGGAGCUUCGGGAGAGCCCGCGAGGGUUCGGCCGGUAACUCCGCCCAGCGACGCAGCGUCGAUUCUGCCGACCACGCCCGUUUGCCGACGGGAGGGGGAGUCAAGCGGAGGAAUGCAUCCGCCCCUCCCGCCUGAAACAGCAACAACCCCCGCUGUAACAAUGACUGCAGCUCCGACAGCAACAGCAACAGCAACGACAACUCGCGAAGAAAUUGGUCAGCCUGCAGUAUCGAGCAGCCCAGUCAUCGGUCCGCAGAGUGCAGUUCAAGCUACCACCUACUACGCUCGUUCCAGAGCCGAACUGCAGAAUUUGUGUAGGGAAUCCAGGAUACGAUCCGACGAAACUCUGGCUGUGUGGUUGGGACGUCUGGUCGUGGAGCUUGGGUCCGACCUCCUGGACCAGGAAGAAGCAAGCUUCUUGGUGAGACAAGCUUCAUGGAGUAGGGGACAUGUCAGCGACAUCGACGUGGUGGCGUUUAGCGUCCACUGGCCUAUUCCGAUUCCAGCGCUUGUGGCAGGAGUGAUUGAACAGAAGGCCCACGCAUGGCAUGACAACUGACCAGAGCACACCGGUGCAGAACAGCUUGUACUGGCGAUCAUCGGAGUUUCGUAUUGCGCCUGGAACCCAAGAGAAUGCACGUUGGGACUGACACCGCUCCAACGAAUGCGACCAUGGCCUCAUCGUCACCUGCGAGACCCUGGAACCGUUCCAGUGACUCUCGACAGCAUAGAUAGUUGUCUUAAGGUUUAUGGGCAAAGAAACAUUGUGGUUUUGCGGACUGUGCUGAACCCACUGGUCGAUCAUCCUGUGAGUAGUCUCCUUCAUCAGUUGUCAAGACUGCGCGUCCUAAUGGAGCCAAGACUAUCCAGUGAUCGGGAGUAUCAACGCCCGACUGAGGCUCAGAACACGAAACACCGCGAAUCCGAGCGUCCAGUAUUACGCCAGAGAGCACAAGAGGAGCGAUACAUGUUUGGAUACCUCCUGCAGCGUUCUGGACUUAAUAAGAGACAGCUUCAGAUUUUAGGAGACGCGGGACAAUGGCAGCUAGCCUACGAGUUAGGUUUUCACUAUCUAGAAGAAGGCGACGAUGACUCCUCGACGGUUUCAUCGAGUUCCUGAGUGUGAAGGAAGAGAGAGAGCUGUCCAGUAUAAAAUCGUGUUUACAUAUUUGUAUUUAAUAGUGAUGAUAAGUUUAAUCGACUGCAUUAUCGUGCGGUCCUGUGUGAUUUUGUAAAUAGUAGUGAAUAACCAUUUUAAGAGUUCUUUUACAGAUCAGGGAUUCGGAGAGCGUGGUGGAGAGAGGCCCCGAGAGGGACAACAUCACCGAGAGGAACGAAGGCCUGACGCGUGAUUCCACCAUGACGCCCACCAAAGUCAUGAUCAUUCAGUUUUUUGUUAUGAAUGUGAUUUUAUGUAUAUGUGUGUGUGUCGGUUAUUAUUUGAUUCGAUCCCUUGAGGACGAACUUUUAUUGUUGACUGAUUUUGUUUUUGCUUGUUUAGUUUCGCGAACCAUUGACAGAGCUGUUAAUAACCCGGAUGAUAGGUUUGAAGUAUAAUUCUAUUGUGCCUUCAGCAAGGGGGGAUGUCAUGACCCAAAGGUCUGAUUUUUUUGUGUGUGCUUCGGCACUCGAAUUAUCCCCGUGGGUUUACAGCUUCGUUGCACAGAGGAGUUCUGCUGUGCAGAGAACCCGCGUGCAAGGGGUGUUCCCGCCACUUUGCAGCGGUCUUUGCAGGGUGCAUUUCCUUUGCAACACAGAAAUGCACGGUGCAAAGAGUUCCCGCUCGUCGUAUGCAAAUUCGUGCCCCGCAAUUGGCUAGUUCUAAAUUAUUCACACAUGGCGGCUAGCAAUUGGCCUGCUAGCCGUAUAAGAGGCUUGAGCAGUUUCCGCCCAAGCCGAAAAGGACUCCACAUCCAUCUCGUGGGGACUCUGGGUGUGCGCGGCAGGGUAAUAGAAACCCUGUGUGUUGCUCAGAGGAGUUUGGCGGCCUGAUCCACCGCCCACCUCUUCCCGUCUUCGAACAGAGCCUACUAUAAGACGUACCGAUGAGUUUUAUGCGCACUUGUCCUGGACAUCCGGAGUUUGUCUGCGUGGAGCCUAGCAACCUCCACGUGAUUGUUCGUGUUCUGUCUGCGUGGAGCCUAGCAAACUCCACGUGUGUUCGUGUUUUCUGUUGUAACCGCAACUCAAGCAAGUUCUCAGCCUACACCACGACCAUCUCGGUAUCUAACAAUCCCCUCGGACAAUGUCCAUACACCAGGUCAAAUGGGACACACCCCAAGGACGACUGCGGAGCCUCCCGCGUCGCAAACAACAGCGGUGGAAUCAUCAGGUCCCACUUACGGGGCUCUGCCUGAACACAGCGACGCAGCACAUUCUUCAAGGUCCCACUAAACCUUUCAAGUAACCCAUUGGUUUCGGGGUGGUAUAGUCAUACAUAGUUGUUUCAUUUGCAAUACCCUCCAUAGGCUCCACAGAACCCCUGACAUAAAAAUAAAACCCUUGGUCUGUAACAAUUUCUUUGGGGAGCCCCACUCGGAUGAUCCAUUUGAGAAGUUCUUCUGCCACCCGGGGCACAGUGACGGCUCACAUAGGGACUGCCUCUGGGAACCGGGUCGCAUAAUUUACGAUAACCAAUGUGGAAUCAGAAAAAAUAAAUGCCUUAAACUUUGAUCAUUUGAGUUAUAAGAUGACAUAACCGCUUUGUGGAGAAUUGCUGGCUCUGUACAGUAGAACAGAUAAGGGAAAGUGUUUGUUCUUUGUAACUCCUCUGCAACUGCUUCCCUCACCGCGGCCUUGAAGAUAGCAAAAAGUAUGUACAACUCUGAUUUCCAGGUGCAGGUAGGGAGUGUUAUUUCUCCCUUGUCUCCUCCAUAGUUCUCAUCCUGAUAACAGCAAAGAAGUAAUGAAGUAAUGUUUAUAGCUGCUUUUCUAGCUAAUUUCACUAUAUGAUGACGUGAGUUGUAAGCGACUGUUAAAAAGUAUAUAAGCCUCCUGAUUUUGCUCUUGGGGGGGAACCCCUUCCAAGUGCUUGACAAAUCCAUGUCACUUUGGGGUCCCCCCUACAGCUGUAGUUUCUUUUGAAUAAAAGCUUCUGCUGACCUGA